rnacentral:rRNA from 1 species
GGAAGGUAGCUUGCUACUGGACCUAGCGGCGGACGGGUGAGUAAUGCUUAGGAAUCUGCCUAUUAGUGGGGGACAACAUUCCGAAAGGAAUGCUAAUACCGCAUACGUCCUACGGGAGAAAGCAGGGGACCUUCGGGCCUUGCGCUAAUAGAUGAGCCUAAGUCGGAUUAGCUAGUUGGUGGGGUAAAGGCCUACCAAGGCGACGAUCUGUAGCGGGUCUGAGAGGAUGAUCCGCCACACUGGGACUGAGACACGGCCCAGACUCCUACGGGAGGCAGCAGUGGGGAAUAUUGGACAAUGGGGGGAACCCUGAUCCAGCCAUGCCGCGUGUGUGAAGAAGGCCUUAUGGUUGUAAAGCACUUUAAGCGAGGAGGAGGCUACUAGUAUUAAUACUACUGGAUAGUGGACGUUACUCGCAGAAUAAGCACCGGCUAACUCUGUGCCAGCAGCCGCGGUAAUACAGAGGGUGCGAGCGUUAAUCGGAUUUACUGGGCGUAAAGCGUGCGUAGGCGGCCAUUUAAGUCAAAUGUGAAAUCCCCGAGCUUAACUUGGGAAUUGCAUUCGAUACUGGAUGGCUAGAGUAUGGGAGAGGAUGGUAGAAUUCCAGGUGUAGCGGUGAAAUGCGUAGAGAUCUGGAGGAAUACCGAUGGCGAAGGCAGCCAUCUGGCCUAAUACUGACGCUGAGGUACGAAAGCAUGGGGAGCAAACAGGAUUAGAUACCCUGGUAGUCCAUGCCGUAAACGAUGUCUACUAGCCGUUGGGGCCUUUGAGGCUUUAGUG